rnacentral:rRNA from 1 species
GCUUAACACAUGCAAGUCGAGGGGCAGCAUGGUCUUAGCUUGCUAAGGCCGAUGGCGACCGGCGCACGGGUGAGUAACGCGUAUCCAACCUGCCUUACACUCUUGGACAGCCUUCUGAAAGGGAGAUUAAUACAAGAUGUUAUCAUGAGUAAGCAUUUUCGCAUGAUUAAAGGUUUACCGGUGUAAGAUGGGGAUGCGUUCCAUUAGAUAGUAGGCGGGGUAACGGCCCACCUAGUCUUCGAUGGAUAGGGGUUCUGAGAGGAAGGUCCCCCACAUUGGAACUGAGGCACGGUCCAAACUCCUACGGGAGGCAGCAGUGAGGAAUAUUGGUCAAUGGACGAGAGUCUGAACCAGCCAAGUAGCGUGAAGGAUGAAGGUUCUAUGGAUUGUAAACUUCUUUUAUACGGGAAUAAACGAAUCCACGUGUGGAUUUUUGCAUGUACCGUAUGAAUAAGGAUCGGCUAACUCCGUGCCAGCAGCCGCGGUAAUACGGAGGAUCCGAGCGUUAUCCGGAUUUAUUGGGUUUAAAGGGAGCGUAGAUGGGUUGUUAAGUCAGUUGUGAAAGUUUGCGGCUCAACCGUAAAAUUGCAAUUGAUACUGGCAGUCUUGAGUACAGUUGAGGUAGGCGGAAUUCGUGGUGUAGCGGUGAAAUGCUUAGAUAUCACGAAGAACUCCGAUUGCGAAGGCAGCUUACUAACCUGUAACUGACAUUGAUGCUCGAAAGUGUGGGUAUCAAACAGGAUUAGAUACCCUGGUAGUCCACACGGUAAACGAUGAAUACUCGCUGUAGGCGAUAUACAGUCUGCGGCCAAGCGAAAGCAUUAAGUAUUCCACCUGGGGAGUACGCCGGCAACGGUGAAACUCAAAGGAAUUGACGGGGGCCCGCACAAGCGGAGGAACAUGUGGUUUAAUUCGAUGAUACGCGAGGAACCUUACCCGGGCUUAAAUUGCAACCGAAUAUGGCGGAAACGCUAUAGCUAGCAAUAGCGGUUGUGAAGGUGCUGCAUGGUUGUCGUCAGCUCGUGCCGUGAGGUGUCGGCUUAAGUGCCACAACGAGCGCAACCCUUGCCGAUAGUUACUAACAGGUCAUGCUGAGGACUCUGUCGGGACUGCCAUCGUAAGAUGUGAGGAAGGUGGGGAUGACGUCAAAUCAGCACGGCCCUUACGUCCGGGGCUACACACGUGUUACAAUGGGGGGUACAGAGGGCUGCUACCACGCAAGUGGAUGCCAAUCCCAAAAACCUCUCUCAGUUCGGAUUGAAGUCUGCAACCCGACUUCAUGAAGCUGGAUUCGCUAGUAAUCGCGCAUCAGCCACGGCGCGGUGAAUACGUUCCCGGGCCUUGUACACACCGCCCGUCAAGCCAUGGGAGCCGGGGGUACCUGAAGUGCGUAACCGCAAGGAGCGCCCUAGGGUAAAACUGGUGACUGGGGCUAAG